rnacentral:rRNA from 1 species
AACGAACGCUGGCGGCAUGCCUAACACAUGCAAGUCGAACGAGAUCUUCGGGUCUAGUGGCGCACGGGUGCGUAACGCGUGGGAAUCUGCCCCUUGGUUCGGAAUAACAGUUGGAAACGACUGCUAAUACCGGAUGAUGACGAAAGUCCAAAGAUUUAUCGCCAGAGGAUGAGCCCGCGUAGGAUUAGCUAGUUGGUGUGGUAAAGGCGCACCAAGGCGACGAUCCUUAGCUGGUCUGAGAGGAUGAUCAGCCACACUGGGACUGAGACACGGCCCAGACUCCUACGGGAGGCAGCAGUGGGGAAUAUUGGACAAUGGGCGGAAGCCUGAUCCAGCAAUGCCGCGUGAGUGAUGAAGGCCUUAGGGUUGUAAAGCUCUUUUACCCGGGAUGAUAAUGACAGUACCGGGAGAAUAAGCUCCGGCUAACUCCGUGCCAGCAGCCGCCGUAA